GAUGAACGCUAGCUACAGGCUUAACACAUGCAAGUCGAGGGGCAGCAUGAAGGAAGCUUGCUUCCUUUGAUGGCGACCGGCGCACGGGUGAGUAACGCGUGAGCAACAUGCCCGAUACUGGAGGAUAGUCGAUGGAAACGUCGUGUAAUACUCCGUAACAACAGAGACCGCAUGAUCUUUGUUUAAUAGAUUUAUCGGUAUCGGAUUGGCUCGCGUCCCAUUAGGCAGUUGGCGGGGUAACGGCCCACCAAACCGACGAUGGGUAGGGGUUCUGAGAGGAAGGUCCCCCACAUUGGAACUGAGACACGGUCCAGACUCC
rnacentral:rRNA from 1 species